rnacentral:rRNA from 1 species
UACAGAGGUGGCAAGCGUUGUUCGGAAUUACUGGGCGUAAAGGGCGCGUAGGCGGUCCCGUCAGUCCCUUGUGAAAUCCCCCCGGCUCAACUGGGGAACUGCAAGGGAUACAGCGGGGGCUUGAGUUCGGGAGAGGGAAGCGGAUUCCGGGUGUAGCGGUGAAAUGCGUAGAUAUCCGGAGGAACACCGGUGGCGAAGGCGGCUUCCUGGACCGAUACUGACGCUGAGGCGCGAAAGCUAGGGGGAGCAAACGGG